rnacentral:lncRNA from 1 species
CGGGGCCAGAGCUAGGAAGGUGCCACCGGAGAGGCAGAGCCACGGAGCGCGGAGCUAUCAGGUUGUGUUGCAAGAAACCAGGGUAUGUUCGCUGUGUAUGCAUCCUCUCCACCAGUCUGGCAAGAGUGCUGCACGCUUGAGCGCGCUGGAAGCUACGUUCUGUACCUUGGUUCCUUCGCCAGGAAGAGAGGGUAGGUGCCAAGCGAGGAAAGGGUGGGAAGCGGCUCGCGCUAGAGCUAGGAUUACUGUGGGCUGGACCCGCCCGCUAGGUAGCUCACUUGGGCGGAGGAGUAGGGGAAGGGAGAGGAGAAGGAGUAGGCUGAGAGAGGCUGCAGAAGCGCUCCCUGGGUUGCACAACGUGCAACUCUGGGCACGGCGGCGGCUGUGGUGUGGGGAGAGGGGCGCUUGCCCGGGAAUCCUUUGGCGGUGAUUGCUGGGCCCUUGAAGCGAAGCUGCUUUCCUAGGUUUAGAGUAGAGCGGCGGCGGAAGAUACCCCGAAGAAGGGGCAUGCUGCCCGGGGCUGCGGCAGAAGGAAGCGGGCAGCCGGUUACUGAGGAGCCAGCCGGAGUGCUCAGGUGGCACUGUUGAAACCAAGUUAAGAGUUGUCAGAAGUUAAUAGAAAAUAAAUGAUAACAGUGAAGAAACACGAUUAAGUACAGAAACCUGAAAACCCAUAGAGGCUGAAACUGAGACUUGAAUUUACUGACUUGCCCCGGAUAGAAAGCAAGCUGGAUUGGAGUCUUCUGACUCCAACUGGGACCCAUGAGGAAUGAAAUGCUGAUAGCUUCUUACUUUGGAGGACUUCUGUAGAAGGGGGGGGUGGUGGAGAGGAGAGUUCCAAAGAAUCUGAAACAAAGCUUUUUAUCUACUUGCGAAGAUUUAUCUAGUCGUGAAGAGGGAGUUUUUAGCUAACGGAAGCUGCCGCAUUGUCCCCAGGAAAUAAUGCUUUAUCCAGAAUGGGUAAGUGAAAAAAUGGCAUUGCCUACUAAUGGAUAUCAUCUGGUGCAUGUUAGAAUUGUAAAAUUGUUUGCAGAUUCCUAAUAACUCUCUAGAAGCCAAGAACACAAAAGCACAGUGGAGGAAAAAAAAUUUUUGAGGGUAGUAUAAGAAUAUUUUUUAAAAUCUGGGAAGAAAAUCAGGCAAUUAAGAAAAAUUCAAUUGUGUUACUUGUUUCAGUUUGAGUAUAUUUAAUGCAAGGAGAUAAUUUUAAAGGGUGGAAAAAAUAGUAGAUAAGCAAAUGAAUUUUUCUAUGGAAUGGUGGCAAAAACAUCCUCUAUGUACAUAUUUCUAUCUACCUGACUAGUAAUAUAUAUCAGUAGGAGUGUUUUUCUAUAGGGAUAGUUAGUACCUUCUUCACAAGAAAAUAUCUAAUGAAAUCUUAACCAAAUAAUAGAUCAAAUAAAGUAAUUGAAUAAAUUUAUUUUAGUUGUGAUAAAUGAAUUGUGAUGUGGGGAUAGUCUUUUAUAAUCAUAUAUGUCAUGAAUUUCAAGAUUGUUCUAAUUUGUGGAUAUAUGGCUUCAGUUAGACCCAAGGAUGUUUUUCCCCCCUGUAUAAGUUAUCUUAUUUUUAAAUGUUAUAUUUAAUAUUCCUUCUCUCUGUGUGUGUAUGUGUGUGUGUGUGUGUGUGUGUCUGUGUGUCUCUCUCACUUUCUCCUUUAAUAUAAAACUUUCAAGUGAACUUGAACCAAAGCUGCCCCAUUUUUAAUUUUUCUAGAGAAAAAUAAACUUUAUCUUGAUAUGUUUAUAUAACUAAUAGUUUCUUUUUCCAGUGCUUUAAGAAAAUAUUUAUUGUUUUUAUUUUACGUCAAAAUUUGAUUACUUACUUUGGUUUUUUAUGAAUGGUAUGCCAAAAUGGUUGAUUAUAAGAGGAAAACAAUAAGAAUGAUGGGUAUAAUUUCUUAUUGGUCAGUAGGCCUAAUCACAUGAUCCCUAUUUAUAUAGUAAAACUGAGAUAGUAAAGGCAAAAAUUAUUUGGUGCCUGUUCUUUUUGGAUUUAAGUUUUUUAAAUUGUGUGUGCUUAGCAUAUAAAAGUUAUAACAAGAAAUGAGAAAAUGACUUGUGUGGCAAGUAUAUAUGUUUGUGUACUUUUAUUUUCUUAUAGUAACUAAAAUUGAAAAGUUUAAUGUGAGAUAAAGGCUCUUCGAUUAGAGAAACAUGCUUUUUGAGAAUUUAUCUGCUAUUUCUACAAAGCUAUUAUACUAUAAUUAUAAAUGUCAUUAAUCUGUUUAUAGAUUAUUGACAUUUACAAUAUACCACAUAUAUAUCAUAUCUAUAAUAUAACGAGGGUUAAUCAAGCUGCUUUAGGAAAUAGAAAAGGUGGUAGAGUUAAGAAAGAGAAUCAAUAUUACUGUCUCACCCUUUCUCCUCCCCUCUUUCCCAUCCUCCAACUUAAAUGCCCCUCUCCUUCCCCAUGGAAAAUGUUUUGAACAAUGCAUUUUAUAAAUCUAGAACUCAAGACUUGUGUGACUAAAUUUGGGGGAGUGGUGGAAAUGUCUAAUAAAAAAAGUAAUAAAAGAAACACUUUUGAGAUAAGCAUUCCUAUUAGGGGCAUGGUUCUCUAGUAAAUCAGAAAGAAUGUAAUACAACCUAUUGUGUAUCACAAUUGAUUUUAUUUAAGGUGUGGCUGACUGAACACCUGGAAAAAUUCUGCUUGCUUGUCCAAAGUACAUGAAUGUUUAGGUCCUCAAGUCUUUUGAUAAUGAGGGAAAGUGAGAAGUUUGUAGUUAGAUUAUUCAUCAAACUACUGAUUGGUGCUAAUUCAUGAAUGAUUCAUUGCUGUGUAUUUCAUUUCAUCAUGUCUGAAAUAUCAUGUUUUAAUAGAUCUGAUUCUCCCACCUCUCUGUCCCUUUAGGUCUUACUCAUCUAUUUGGAAAUACUUGUUUAAAUUACUUUAAAGUGUGUCAUAUUGGGUCCCAGUAAAUUUGUUUGCAUCCUAUCUAUUAAGUCUAACCAUCUCUUUUCACUGUCAUUUAGUAAUAAAAUACAUAUAUAAAAUGAAUGGCACUAUAAGAAAUACUUAUAUAAUGUUUAAUUUUGCCUUUGGGUACAUUUCAAUUUCUAGUGGUUAUUAUCAUUCAUGGGAAGGGGGAGGGGGUUUUGUUCUAGCACAUGUAUAAGAAAACACAUCUUUCCUUUAUCUUCUCUGUUAUGAAUGACGAUCCUCUCAACAGCAUUUACUAAUUAGCAAUAUGAACAUUUAUCCCCAUCUGGUUAUCCCUGUAAUUAAUUUUAAAGUAGUGAUUUGGAAUCUAUGCCUGAUUAAAUGUUGCAUUUAAAUAUAUAUAUAUUUGAGGAAGCCUUCAAUCACAGAUGAAACAAAUGAUCGGUUUAGUGCAAAAAGAAUAAGUUUCAUAAUAUUGCUCCUAUGGCAACAGGGUAGUUAGGUGUUUUGAAAUAUAGCUAUAAGCAUUCAUUGUAGAAAUGUCAUUCAGACCUCCUACUACAGCCUCAUUGGGUGGGAGAUUGAUAGGAAGGGAUAAAACCAGGCUAAGGAACCAGCACAUAACCCAUGUAUAUGCCUGUGUCUUUCUACAAACUGUCCCAAAAAUAAAAUUAGAAAGGUAUAGUUUGAACAACAUGGAAUAUUUCAAGAACUAAAUGAAGGACAUGCUAAGAGGGGGUCAGGAAAAUGGAGGAAAGUGGAGGAGAGAAAUUUAAGGAGCAAGAAAGGUAGUAGAAAAAUGUACUCAGUAGCUGAAAAUCUUUUCUCCCCUGUUAGCUGUCAGUGGGAACAUCUUGAACUGGUUAUAGUAUAAUUUCAACAUCUGAAAAGAUUUCCUUAAAAUGUGGUAUGGGGGGAAUUCCUUUGGUAGCAGUAUGGUUUACCACUUUAUAUAACAUUUAUGCAUCUCUCCUCUGUUAUUCUGAGGUGCAGUCUUUUUUCCAAGAGGUCCUGAAAGAAUGCUUGUUCAUUGGUUAUUUGGCUUCCUUUAUGUGCUACCUAAAGACAAAGAUGAGUUUUUAACAUUGAAUAUGAUAACACUUAAUAUGCUAAAUAGAUCAUGAUGACUUUAGAUUCUCAUUCUCAAGGAUAGUUUUUUUUUUUUUUUAAGCUGUUGAAAAAUGGUGAAAAUGAUUUGCUCUGGGAUCUUAAGUCUGAGUAAUUAUACACAUUUUAUAAAAAUGAAGGAUUUUUUUUUUGUUUUUGUUUUUGUUUUUUGUUUUUUUUUUUAGUUUUUGGGGAACUGGAGUUUAGCAUUGUAACCAAUUUUAAAUUAUUCAGGAAGUGAUGCAGUAUUGUGCACUAGAAAGACUGCUGGACUUUGACUCUAGGAUCCAGGGUUCAAAUAUAACUCUGCUGCUUAAUACCUUUGUGACCUUGGGCCCUGUCCCUAAAAUAAGGGGGAAGGGGAUUGGAUUCUAUGACCUCUAAGGUCUUUUGUGCUCUAAAUUUUUUUAUCUUAUAUUAAUGCAAUGCCCCUAUUCUCCUACAACUUUCCAACCCUAAAGUGUUUUUUUGUCUGCCCCUCCCCUCCCAUUUAAUGACACUUUCACAUCACCAGAGAGUGAAAAGUCAAAGGAAAAAGGACAUGAAGGUCAAAUUAUUAGAAUUCUGAUCAAACAUUUGGAGAGGAAGGUGUUGGAAUGCUUUAUUGAAAUAUGCACAGGAUUUCAAUUGUUCAGUAAUUCCUGGUGCCUCUCCUCCUUUCAUAACCAAGAGCAGCCUAUUGCUGAAUGUUUUGAAAAUGGUUCUUCUUAGUUUAUUGGUCUUUAUUUGAUCUCUUCAGACUCUUUCCAAUGUAAUAAUCUUUUUUUUUUUAAAUCAAUAUAUUUUCUUGGGCAAGGAAAAAAUCUUUUUUUCUCCUUUGAUGGUGGGGGAUGCUUUUUUUUUUAAAGCUAAUUUUGCAUUUCUACAGAAUUUACUCCAGGCUCUUUCCAAAAUGUAGAUAGAAGACCAGAGUCUGUCAUUAAUUUGGAGGAAAGAGGAGAAUGUGUAAGAAUAAUUGUUUUGUUGGUUAUGGAGAAAUAUGGGAUUUCCCCUACCCCCAAUAAAAUGAAAGAUUAAGAACCACAUUUUGUUUUCUGUAGCCAUGUAUCUCUUCUUGGUUUCAGUUUAGUAAUUCAUGGCAGAUGAUUAUAAAAUAUAGCCAUGACUCAACUCUGAGGGGAAAUCUAGGUAUUAAUUUAUAUACCUUCUGAAAGACACUUUUGACAUAGAUCUUGAGUAUAGUUUUUAUCAAAAUCAUAUAAAGUAUUGGCAUUCAACUCUUUCCCUUAUUUAUUAUUUGUAAUAAUAAGGAUAUUGAAAUUAUAUGGCAUUACUGCCAUUAUAAGUUUCUAAGAAAGUUUUUAUUGAACUGACAAAUUACUUUUUUAUUUGGAAAAUUAAAGUUAGACAAGUUAUUUUCAAGGGACCAUUAGAUUCUGUGUAUUGAGUGCUCUAAAUUUUUAAAAGUCAUAUGAUGGUUAUGCUGAUGAUUCUAGGAUUAGAGAUUUAGACCUGAAAGAACUUUAAAAUUUAUCUAUCUAGUCUAACUCACUUUACAAUUGAGGAAACUGAGGCCAGAGAGAUUAUGAAUUGGCCAAACUCACCAGAUAGGAUAGUAACUAAUUUAUGUUAUCAGAUUUUAAAAUUAACAGAGUGCUCUAUAUACAUUAUUUAAUUUGAAUGUCACAGUAACCAUAUAAAUUUUACCUUUGGAGGGAUAAAUGUUUUCACACUUAAAAAAAACAAACCUUCAUCAUUCAGAGGUGCUAUGCCUCCCGUUGUUGCUAGGAGAUAAAGGUAAUACUGAGCAAAAAGGAAAAUUAGGUCUUUAAAACUUGCCACUUUUUUUCCUCAGAAAAAUAGUACUGAAGGAGCUGUUUAGCUUCAAAUGAACUUAAAAAAGAAUUUUUAGUUUUAUGAUUCCUGCACCCCCCAGCUGAUACCCAGUUUUCUUCCCACUGUCACAAAUCACAGACUGUUAUAAGUAAUUGAAACUGUUUUUUGUCUGCUAGAUUUUUCUUGCUCUUAGAUCACAUUUAAUGCUAACCUCAAUGAAAAUUAUUUUUCUUUCUCAAAAAGUGACUGUAUAAUUCUAGGUAUUAAAACUGCAAACUUCAAACCUAGUAGACAUAAUAACUUUAAAUAAAGAGGAAACAACGUCAAAUUUGAAUAAAAAAUCAUUCAAAUUCUAAGUCGUAAUUAAAGUAUAUAGAAUAAAAACAUUUUGGGAUUUUGUAGGCUGUUUUUGGUUAAGGUAAAAUUUUGGAAGCAUUUUUAUCAUCCCUUAGAAGCAAAACACAAUCCUUUUCCAUUCACUCACUCUCUAUUCUUUCCCCCCUUUAAAAAAAAAAAUCUUGGGAAAUUAAUCCAAAAAUUGUCCUAAAUGCUAUAUUAAGGAAUGUAAGUAAUCUAAGCCUUGGCAUUUCCUGACUCAAGUUUCUAAAUUCUCAACUUAACCCAUUAUAUUAAGACCUUAAAUUUAUCCUAGUUUGUAGUAAAAAUCAUCUUGGUAUUAAAACAUUUAAAAUAUGUCACUAAGAUGUAUUGCCAUUUAUAAACAAUGCCAUAAUGUGUGUAUUUACACACACACACACACAUACAUACACAUACACACACAGUAUAUACUUUAUAUACAGGGUUUUUUUUUUAAGAUUCCAAAAAGUCAUUUUUAGUUGUGAGCAUUCAUUUCUUUAAUAUUUUGAAUGACAAAAAUGAGAUUCGGAGAAACACAGAAGUUCAAAUAUUUUAGAAAUAUUUGAGUGCCUUUAUGUAAUGUCUGUAAUGGGCUAUUUUAUUUUUCUUUAGCAGAAAAAAAUCACUAGAAAUAGAAAACUUUCCUUAUAGCAAAGGCAUUGACAAGAACAUAUUUUUUUUUUAAAGUUCUACUGAAAAGAAACUUUUGAAAAUAGCAGCUUUUUAUUUAUUUGUAACAUGGAUAUCCUAACCAUUGCUGAAAAAUAACUAAAUAUUUUUAUUAGCCAGCUAAAUAUUGGAAUGGAUAUCACCCUGAGCUGAGUUCAAAUCAAGCCUUUGACACUCACUGGCUGGGUGGCUCUGAGCAAAUCUCUUCACCUCUCAUCUUCACUUCCUCAUUUGUAAUUAACUGGAUAAUAAUAGCACCUGCUUCAUAGGAUUGUGAGAAUCCAAUGAGAUGAUAUAUGUGAAGUUCCUUGCAAAAAAUUAAAGAGUUGUUGUAGAAAUGUUAGGUACUGUUAUUGUUAUAAUGAUGGUAGUAGUAGUGAGUCCUAUCUUUUUUUUUUUUUUUUUUUUUUUUUUUAACCAAAGAAUUGCUCAGUGGAACUAACGGAUUAUAUUGGAGAGUCUAAAGUCAUUAGGUUGAAGAUUAUGGGGAGGAAAUAAGAAUGGUACCUCUCUUCUGUUUGACUGGGUGAGAUGACAAUUGUGUGUGUAUGCAAGAAAAUAGCUUUCCUACCUUAAAUCUGAAUUGAGUUGAAUAAUUUUAUAAAUAAAAGGUGGUUGUAAUAAAGAAAGGAGACCAGAUAGGUCACUUUAAAAUAAUGUUUGAUUAGAUUCACACAGGAUUUUAGCAGACAUUUUUACAGAUUGCUUCUAGAGAUGACCCCAGUUGAAAUUUUUCAGCCUUUCCCACAUUUUUCAGCAUCAGAAGGAUAUUUUGUUAAAUGCCAAUGGACAAUAGAAAUUUGAGGAAGCAUCAUGCCAGUGCUGUGGUUCAUGUUUCAGGGUUGUUGUUUUUUUUUUUUUUUAAACUUUGACUUCUUUCAUGGCUGGUUUAAUUAUUUUAAUAUCUGAAACUUAUAACUCUCUACUAAUUUGUGUUACUGCUUUCAUGAUGAAUACAUAACACAUUGAAAAAACUGACUAGAGGGAAACACCACAGUCUGUCCAAGUGAGUGAAGUCGAAAGUCUGCUUUUUUUUUAUUUGCACUAAAAAGUAUACUUGAUUUUGAAAUACAAAUAUGACAUUUUCUGCUUAUCUCACAGUUUUAAUGGAUCUAUUUUAGUCAUUCAUUAUCUAGAUAUAUCUAUUAGACAGUAUAUCAUAGGGGAAUUCCUGGUUUUCAGUUUAAGAACUCUCAUACUACCAGUUUUACUAGUAUAAUUUCCCCUAUUUCUCCCCUUAAUAUUUUUACCAUAAAAUGGGGUUAUGGAUGAAAGGCGUAGAAGAAAAGAUGAAUAGAAGCUUUUUUGGUCAUAGGUCUCCUAUUUUACCAGCUGUUUGAUCUUUGUCACAAUCAUUUUAAUUUUUAUCUACCUUAUUUUCUUUAUAUAUAAAAUGAAAGUGUUAGAUCAAUUGAUUUAUAUAAGACAUAUUUCAACACUGCCAUUUGGGAUUUGGAGCAUUCUUCUACAAUCUUCUUUCCCUUUUGAGACUUUUACUUAAAUCUAAUAAAGAAAUCUCUUUAAUAGCAUAUUAACCCUAAAGUAAUCUUAGUAGCAAAGCUAAUUUGUACCUGGAAUUCCUGACUUGACUUUGUAGUGUCUUUUUUUAUAUUCUGUUAAUUCUUUUUUAAAAAUGGAAAGUUUCGCCAAAGAAUAACAAUGGGAAUUGCCCCUAUUUGAAUAAUUUAAUUUGUGUAUGAACAUUCAUGUAAGGAAAACUGAUAGAAACAACUUGUGAAGGAACGUGGUGUCUCAGAUAAAAAAAAUGUUGCUGAGGGACUGUUCUGAGGACAAGAUAGAGAUUACUGGGAGGUAAAGAUAACCUCAGGACAUUAUAGUCCAUCUUUCCUUUUGUAUGUGGCUUGCCAGAGUUUUGAAGGCUAUAAUUGACAAAAUUGUAAAUCAUACAAUAGUCAUACCUGGCUGAAAGGUUGAAAUGUUGAGUUUCACAUCAUAAGUUAGAAGUGUUACAGCUUAUGAGGAGGCACUGGUUUGAGGUAUGAGACCCUAGAGAGAGAUGAAAUUAUAGGAACAGAGAGGAAGCUAGAGCAGGGGCUAGACAGAGCCAAGAGAGUAAAUUGAAUGUAGAAAGAAGCUAUAGGAGCCAGGAAAGAAGACUAAGAAACAAGGAAAACUGGUUCCAACUGAGAUAGGUAAUUUUUCAGCUGCUUUUGCUGGGGGAGGAGGGUCAGCUUAGAGAAUUCUUUAGUUGAGAUAUCAGUGAAGAGAUCACCCUUACUACUGUAAGCCACUGGUUUAUGGCUUUCUGCUGCCAUCUAUAUCCUGGGGGAAUAGAAUGGAGAACUUUUCGGGAAUUCUGAUUGCCCUUUAUUUCUUCUAUGGUCUGGUGCUGGAGAAACAGAAGAGAAUUUCCAUCUCUUUUGCCGUUGGUUGUAUUUAUUGGAGAAGAAGCUUUGCUUCCCUAGAUAUUGAUUGGAGAAAGCAGAAAUCUGCUGAAUGAAGAGCUGACUGGAUGUUUCUGCCUUGACCAGAGAGUGCUCCUGAGUUGCUUUGCAAUUGGAUGGCUUAAGGGAACUGCUUUUACUUGGUGAUUUUGUGUGUAUGUGUGUGUGUGUGUGUGUGUGUGUGUGUUUCACUUUUUUUGCUAAAAGCAUUCCUUUGUCUCAUUAAUCAGAGGGGUAGUUUUUGCCCAGCCAUCUUCUGAGAACCAGAAGGGAAACAAUGAAACAAUGAAGAGAGAAGUAAUUUCUUGUUCUUGAUAGCACUAAGGCCAUCAAAGUCUACAUUUCAGAGUUGUGAGUUUGCAUGGACCUGAGUUUUCCUAUUCAAGUAAGUGCUUGCUAGGUUUCUAUGUGUGACCCUUUUUAACCAUGAAUACAUUACAUACAUUGGUAGGAGAGUAUAAUCCAAGCUUAUGGGAUAAUUGUGUUUUUAUGAUUAUUCCUACUUUUUCCUUCUAUCAAAUAACUAAUGUUUGAUGUUUCCAUUUUUGCCUUAUCCUUUAGUGCUUUCUAUUUAAGAAUUAAUAAUGUUACUCUGAUUUGUUUUAUAUAGAAUCAUUAGUAGGAGUGACAGUGGCAAAUGUUAAAUAACCUUCCAAAUCAGGGUUAUCUCUAUUACUUUGAGAAAGAGAUAAAGUAACAGCCUCAUGUGAGGUCUGUUCACCUCUGGAAACUCCAGAUCUACCAACAUGAGUGCAGGUCAAGUGAGAUAAGUAGGUCACAGAGCUGAGUAAGGAGCCUAGGCUCUAUGUAUAUUUAAUUUAAAUGCGUCUAUUGUUGUACUAACAAUCAUGAACCUUAAAAAACUUAAACACAUAUAGAAAUUUUAAGGGGUGAAAUUAUAUUUGAUAACACUAUCAGUAGAGACACUGAAGCUUAGGAAUAAGGAGGUGCCUAUUAAAGCUUUUUUUUUAGGAACAUCAUUGUGUUAUCUAUGGAGGAUGGAUUGGAGUAAGUAAGGAAUAGGAAGAAUUAGGAGACUACUGAAGUAGUCCAGGUGAGAAGUGUUUGAGGGCAUAAACUAAAGUGUUGGUUUUAGUAAUAGGGACGACACAUGAGAGAGAUGUAGUGAUAGAAUCUGAUUUGAUAACUGUGUGUAUAGGUUGAGGAGGAGUGAAAAGUCAGUUAGCACUGAAGUCACACAAAAGGUGAUAAUAGGUUAGGUGACAGCAGGGCUACCCAGAAGAAAGGAAAGAAGGAAAAAGAAUUUUGGAAGCCAUGGCUUUGGGAGGAAAGAUUAUAAAAUAAAAAAGAUGAGGGCUACAACCCAUCUGUGCUUAUUCAUCACUCUUUCCCGCUCAAAUUGAAAAGGGAGGGGGCCCUGAUAUGGACCUGCUCACUAAAAGGUGCCUGCAGCAUAUACACACGAAAUGAACUGAGAAACUGAUGGCUGGAUUUUCCCAGUGGCUUCUGUGAUCUCCUAAGUUAAUUAAUACAUAAGAGUCAUAGUUGGAAAGUUUUGCAUAAUGGAAUACAGGUAGAGAGUGGCCAGCUCUGCCACGGACUCUCAUAUCCUCCUCCCGUUUUGAAAUUGGUCAAUCUUCCAUUACUUUGGAGACAAUGAAUUCUUCUCAAACUCAGAUUUUGUUUGUAUCAGGUCUGUACCACUUACACUGUAUCUAAAAAGUUAGGAACUGCUUGUAGCCUGUUGGAAGUCUCAGGUUGCAGGUUUGAGAUAACUGACUUGUAGUAAGAAGGGAUUAGGCAGCUUGUAGCAGCCCAUACCCACUACUGUGGACUUCUUGAGACAGGUGAGAGGGCCUUGGAAUCUCAAAUAGAUGUUUUCGCCUGCUUAAUAGCAGUUAUCUAACUCAUUGUUGCAUUCUUCAGUCCCAAUCUUGGAGACAUUGGGGAAAGAUAGAUAACAACAGGGAUGGAGGUGGGGGGAGAUAUCUGGGAAAGGAUAUCUUUAUAGGCGAACUCUUAGUAUUCUCUUCUUCUCUUAUCCAGCCAGUGAGGGCUCCUUUAAUUUGAUCCUUCACCCUGGCAAGGACAAAGCACAUUCCACUGACUGAUAUUCUUAAAGCCCCCAAGCAGCCUCUGCUGACUGCUGCCAUGGUUGCCGU